rnacentral:rRNA from 1 species
AUUGAACGCUGGCGGCAUGCCUUACACAUGCAAGUCGAACGGUAACAGGUCUUCGGAUGCUGACGAGUGGCGAACGGGUGAGUAAUACAUCGGAACGUGCCUAGUAGUGAGGGAUAACUACUCGAAAGAGUGGCUAAUACCGCAUGAGAUCUACGGAUGAAAGCAGGGGAUCGCAAGACCUUGUGCUACUAGAGCGGCCGAUGGCAGAUUAGGUAGUUGGUGGGAUAAAAGCUUACCAAGCCGACGAUCUGUAGCUGGUCUGAGAGGACGAUCAGCCACACUGGGACUGAGACACGGCCCAGACUCCUACGGGAGGCAGCAGUGGGAAUUUUGGACAAUGGGCGCAAGCCUGAUCCAGCAAUGCCGCGUGCAGGAUGAAGGCCUUCGGGUCGUAAACUGCUUUUGUACGGAACGAAAAGCCCUGGGUUAAUACCCUGGGGUCAUGACGGUACCGUAAGAAUAAGCACCGGCUAACUACGUGCCAGCCGCCGCCGUAAAAC